rnacentral:lncRNA from 1 species
AUAAGUAUCAAUGUCAACAACAAUUAACGUAUAAAUUUGAUCGAAACGAGACAAUUCUAAAAGCUUUUCACUUACUUCCAUUACCUCUUCGUUUCGAGAUGACAUAUAAGGCUUUAGUUGCUUUUUAAGACCUUCUUGUCGAAAAAACUUUCGGUCAUUAAAAAAAUCGACUAGUUCCAUGAUAUCAUGGUCGCAAUGAAAAAAUUUUUUGGCAAUUUCAAUUGGUGUCAAGGAAUUGAAUCUAUGCAAACGAAUACUAACCAUUUGCUGUAAAUCAACUGGCAUAAAUCCGGUAUAUUCCUUAACUUUUUUAUUGGAAACUGUUACUUCUCUCAAUGGAUAACAAUCUUCGAGUUGCUUAAAAAUCCCUUCCGCAGUAAGUUUUAAAGUUAAUAAAUAAGGAUCUGCAACUACAAUAUUCCAUAGAGUUUUUUCGAAAGGAACUUCGAGGCGUUUCCAAUGAAGCUGCUUUAGCCGUUUAGAAGGAUUGCAUAGCUCACCAGGAAUUUUGCUUGCAUACACUUCAGACUCUGAACCUGAACAGAAUUUAAAUAUGUCAUCGAUUGAAAUAUUUUCGGGAAUAAUUAUCGUCUUCCGAAAAAUUUGUGAAUCAUUUUUUUCAAAUUUCUGGAGAGAAGACAUUGCAGUUGGUAAAGGAGGUGCAGGAGGUGGUAAUGGUGCAGGAGGUGGAGCUUUGAAUGGAUUCCCAUCAAUAACUUCUUUGAUUCUCAUAUUUUCUAUUUUAGAAAACCUCUUGGUAUCAGUUAUGGAAAAUCGGCCAUAGUACGACUUUCGAUAGUCUAAGGGAAGAUCACUAACAACAUCAAUCCUUUUUGGAUUAAAAACCUUGUGUUUUGAAGUUUCCAUUUUUUCUGCUAAGUUAGCACUUUUUAUUUGUGUUCCUGGCAUACUCAGAUGAACCUCAAAAGAAUGCGUUGAAACAGCGGAAGAUGGCUCGGAUUUUAAAGUGAUUGAGUUUGCUUUAGCUAGAUCUAAUUUGCAAAGUUUUAAUUUUUCAUCCUGAUUUGGUUGAAAAAGCAGUUUAGGUUUUAUCCUUGGUGAAGCAAAAGCACUAACGCUAGAGGUAGUGUUCACGGGUUGAACCCAAUCUCUGUUUCCAUUUCCAUUCACAUUGUUUUUAGAAAUUAAAUACUCUUGGUCACGAUCUUGCAGUUUACUACUUGAUCGGUUCAAUAAUCGAAGAAUUUUGGUAUCUUCGGAAAUGUAUGAAUCGCGCGUACGCGUCAGUAAGUGCUUUAGUUUACUAAAAAUUUUUUCGGCUGAAAAGGAAGAUUGAGGAUCAAACUCUGAUGGAAACAACAAACACAAACAAUCAAAGAUAUUUUUCAGAUCGGUUUCAUACUUCGAACUUUCCACAUACUUUCUUUCGGAAUUCUCAUAUCCUUGAUUUGUAGUGUUAUUAGUAUCACCAGUAGCAUAAAGUUCUGAUUUGGAGACGCUGUAUUCAUUAUCAUCAGUAUUAUCAUAUGAUGCGACAACUUUUUUGCUAUUGGUAGUACCGUAGCCAGACGUAACACUUGAGUACCCCGGAGCGUUGUUCCCUUGCUCGUUUCCAAUCUUUAAUUCCUUAUAAAAGCAAUCAAUAUCAUUAUUUGAAUUACCAUUCCCUUUAUCAGCUUGUAAAGUAAGCACUAAACAAUCAAGUAACUUUAUAAUACGGACGGGGUUGUUGUGCUCUUUCAAAAGUUUUAAAAAAUUUUUAAUAUGCUCUUUAACCAUAAAUUCGAAAUUUGCAUCAUUAAACAUGUUUGUGUUUAAAAGGGAUUGAUGAGCAGCAGAAUUUGGAGUGUGCUUUAAAAAAUGUUUCUCAUUAGCAGUGUCUAAUGAUACGAGUUUCACGCAUUUCUCGAGUUGUUUUAAUACUCCUUCAUCAUUUAUUUUUUUUAGAAUGAGUAAAAUGCUUUUGAAAUUCCCUAUUCUCAAGGAUUCCUUGAACUGGAGUAAAGCAGUUUUAGAUGGGAUAUUUUCAAGAAAUGCAUUUAUAAGAAGCAUUUGUGAAAUGAUAUACUCAAUAGUUAUUUUAUCAUGUAAGGCCGCUUCUUCUAGUACUUUCUUUUCUUCAGUAACAACUUUCUCUAAGAGUGUUCUUUUCCAUUGAGAAAGCCAUAAAUCAAAGACGUUCAUAGACUCGACUUUCAAAUUUGCAAAGUUUUUCAUACAUUUCAUAAUUGCGUUGAUUCCGUUCGGCUUUUCUGAGUAACAAAGAAAAGUAAGUAAUUCGGCAGCUAGUUUCCUUACUAGUAAUUUAGUUGACAGGAGGCAGUGAACAACUGAAUCGAUAGGAUACUUAUUACUCAGAUAGAAAUCAGUCCCAAUCUUCUGUCCUAUAAUACACCUCAUGCUUUUGAGGAUUGCAAUUUCUAAAGUUAUGUCAGGACUUUUUAGAUGUUUCUUCUCAUGAAUUGCCUGCAAUAUUUUAGCAAGUACUAUGUGUCCACCCAUCAAAAGAAAAUAUCGAACCCAGGUAACUGAUUCGGUUCUCAAUGCAACCGCCAAAGAUUCCACGUACUUGAGCUUCAACGGUGUACAGCUUAACUUUUCAAUAUAGGAAAUGACGGAUGCCUUGACAUUUAGUUCAGAAUCGUUUGAUGAUAUUUUUAAAAAUUUAUCGUUUCUCGAUAAAUAGCCAGUGAUGAAAGACCAUUUGUUUUCUUGAGAGAGUGUAACGUUCGCGUCCCAAUGAAACUGCUCACCAGAAUCAGAUUUUUCUUCGCGUAAUCUUUUUAAAACAUCAUCGAAUAAUUCAUUCACUAAAUUCGGGUCAUCCGGACAUAGAAGCGCUUCGCCUGGUACAUAUGAAUCGGUAAAUCCAACAGGUCUUUUUGAUAAAUUGUUGCAAUGAAUAUCCGGAAUAGUGUUUUUUUUGUUUUCAAUACUCACAAAUAGUGAAGAGUAAUCAUUUGUAAUACGAAGGUCUGUUUUCUUUACGCUUUGGUUUUUUAAUCUGCUUCGCGAUAAUGCUUUUGCUUCGACUUUUUCAUAUGGGUCAGUGUGUAAAUCAAUGUUUGUUAGAGACCCAAACGAUGAAAUUUCUUUAACAAUUGGUUUAGAGAUUCUGAUACCUUUAAAACUAGCCGUCAUCAUUAACAAGCAAUAGCUAAAAAAGGUGAAACCAUCAAUAAUAUGUCCUAUAAUUACAGAAACAAGGUUUUUUGCUCGUAAACAAUCCUUUUUGAGUUCAGAU